UUCGAGUGGCGGACGGGUGAGUAACGCGUGGGGAACCUGCCUCAUACAGGGGGAUACCAGCCGGAAACGGCUGUUAAAACCGCAUAAGACCACAGAGCCGCAUGGCUCAGGGGUAAAAACUCCGGUGGUAUGAGAUGGACCCGCGUUCGAUUAGCCAGUUGGCGGGGUAACGGCCCACCAAAGCGACGAUCGAUAGCCGAUCUGAGAGGAUGACCGGCCACAUUGGGACUGAGACACGGCCCAAACUCC
rnacentral:rRNA from 1 species